GACGAACGCUGGCGGCGUGCCUAAUACAUGCAAGUUGAGCGCUGAAGGUUGGUACUUGUACCAACUGGAUGAGCAGCGAACGGGUGAGUAACGCGUGGGGAAUCUGCCUAUGAGCGGGGGACAACAUUUGGAAACGAAUGCUAAUACCGCAUAAAAACUUUAAACACAAGUUUUAAGUUUGAAAGAUGCAAUUGCAUCACUCAAAGAUGAUCCCGCGUUGUAUUAGCUAGUUGGUGAGGUAAAGGCUCACCAAGGCGAUGAUACAUAGCCGACCUGAGAGGGUGAUCGGCCACAUUGGGACUGAGACACGGCCCAAACUCCUACGGGAGGCAGCAGUAGGGAACCUUCGGCAAUGGACGAAAGUCUGACCGAGCAACGCCGCGUGAGUGAAGAAGGUUUUCGGAUCGUAAAACUCUGUUGGUAGAGAAGAACGUUGGUGAGAGUGGAAAGCUAAUCAAGUGACGGUAACUACCCAGAAAGGGACGGCUAACUACGUG
rnacentral:rRNA from 1 species